CACCAUUGGAGGUUGACACCAGCUAGAACCUUUUCUGUCAGGUUCCACUUCCUUCUGAGAGACAUGACUUCUUCUGGAGGCUGGCACACAGCAGCAGAGUCGUCUCAGACAAUUUCCAAUUCUCUUCUUCACCCUCUUACAAGCUCGGGAUAGAUGGCUGUCAGAGGCUGCAGUUACACCUCAAGGAGGAACAACUUCAAAGCUGUUCUUUGAGGUAGCCAGAAAGGAAGGUCUCUGGAUUUCAGGGAUUUCUUCAGGAGGAACAUCGUUAAAGAUGUUACUGAAUGUUUCCUUCAGUAAAGAUCUUUCCUUCAGUAAAGAUCUUUCCUCGGAAAGAUCUCGGGAUAUCAAUAUGUCUUUAGAUAGGACAUCAUCAAAGCUGUUACAUCUCUAUUUAAGGUAUGCCUUCAAGGAGGACAUUGUCAAAGUUCUUCUGGGAUGCAUGCUGAAGAAAAGAUCUCUGGAUUUCAUCAAUGUCUUCAGGAGGUUCAUCAUGAAAACUGUUAUUGGAUGUUUCCUGAAUGGAUGAUUUCUUGAUUGCAGUUGUUGCUUCAGAAGGGACAUCUUCAAAGCUGUUCUUUGAUGUGGCCUGAUAUGGAUAUGGGUUAUGCCUUCAGGAGGGCCAUCACCAUAGAUGUCCUUGGAUGUUGUCUGAAGAGAACCUCUCUGCAUGUUGUAUGUGGCUGUGGUGUUCACAAUGUGAUGGACCUCCCUGUAGCUCCCAGAAUUCUGAGUGUCUGAGCUAUUUUGGGGGGUGUUCCCUUCCUGGGGUGUCACAGGAGAAAAAGGAUGCAGAAGAAGUGCUCUCAGAGGACAGGGUUCUUGAGGAUGAGCAAUUGCAAAUCAUGCUAUCCAGUGCCAUACAUCUGCUCUUGAGAUAAUUAACCUUAUGAGCAAGUGCUGGCAACACAAGCUGGCAGGCAUGCUCAGGCUUAUCAUCCUCUUUUUCCUUGAUCCCUUUGCAUCAUGCACCAGGUGUUCCUCCAGCAAGAUGGGAAGAGCAAGCUCACUCAGUCCCCUCUGAGUUGGAAAGCUAAUAAGAGCAUCUGCUGGGGACAUAGUAACACGGGCCGGCAAGAAUUUCGCAGCAUACUUAUAGUGGUCACAGGGUGACUUGUGGUUUAAAAUUAGUUAUGUGGCCAUGAUGUUAUUGAAUUUCUUCUCACAUAGACAAGCACUAAUGUCCUUGGGGUGGUAGCCCAUUCUCCCCACAGCCACCACAAUGCUGGGAUUCAGGUUGUUCCAGAGUGCCUCUAAGGAUGGUGUGAUUUUCCCAAAUUCUUCUUGGUCUUGAACCACUGAUGCUGCCUCAUGUCAAAUAUCUUGGGCCUCUGCUCAGUCUUCACAGUGAACAACUGCACAAUGAUGUUUGCUAUGUUUUGGGAAAGAGUGUAAGGGAGGUGGUACUUGGGAUCCAGCAUUUCCUCCUUCAUGUCUGAAUAGGUGUUGGCUUUGCAGGGAAAGGAUGCAGUCACCAUUGUAUAUAAAACCACUCCCAUGCUCCAGAUGUCAACUGUGUUUGCAUUGUAUUCCUUUCCAGAGAACAAAUCUGGAGCACAAUAUUCCAGGGUUCCACAGAAUCCAUUGGUACCCUUGCCAGGUGUGACAUGGGUGGCCAGGCCAAAGUAGCACAACUUGAUGUUGCCUUUGUCAUCAAGCAGGAUAUUAUCUAGCUUGAUGUCUCUGUGUGCAAUGCCAUUAUCAUGGCAGUAGUGAACUGCACACACCAGCUGUGUAAAAAUGUGCUGGGCCUGCUCCUCCUCAGACGGCCCACCCUCCCAAAAUAGCUCACCAGAUCUCCACCAACAGCAUGUUCCAACACCAUAUAGGUCUAUUCUUUGGUGUUGAUGAUAUGGAACAGCUUGAUAAUAUACGGGUGGUCCAACGUUUUAUAAAUGUCGAUUUCGGUUUUUCUGCUGAAGUCAUUUUUGGUUCCAUUUUGUAGGACCUUGACAGCAACUUGCACCUCUGUGUGAAGGUGGUAGGCAAGCUUCACCUCAGUAAAGUUCCCUUUGCCAAGGCUCCUGAGGAUGACAUAGUGAUCUGAAAGUGUAUCCUCUUCAGAGGCCCUGGCCUUCAGGUCCAGCUGUAUUUUCAACUUCUCACUGCUCUUGUUAGUGAAUUGAUUGGUAAUAUCCAUGUCAACACCAACUGAGAAAACCAGAUUGAAAACAAAGAGAAGUAGGUAUUAGACAUGGUAGGAUGGGAGAGAGAGGACAGGAAUAUUGGUUUUUUAAAACACGAUGGUGUUUAAUACAUAAAAAUGUGUUUUCAAAGUUUUCAAUGAUGAAAUAUCAAAAUGAAUAAAAGCAUGGUGGUACAAUA
ensembl:lncRNA